AAACCAGAGUAGCGAGCGAAACACGAUUGAUAUACCUGGUUGCAGUGAACGAACAAACUUUAAAAGUUUAUAUAUGAUUAUAUAUGUUUUGCUUUGUGGAAACACCACAACCUUUUGAUCCGAAACCCCAGUUCGUCAUCAGUGGAAAUAAUACGCUGUGUCAAAUACUUUGCCUCCGGCCCCCAGCUAAAAAAACGCCCCUAAAGCGACGAAGGCCUUUAAAAUUCUUGAUCUAAGAUUGCUUAUUAACUGAGAGCAUAAAUCUUAGCUGCGUUAAUACCAGACAGUAUGCAAUCAAGUGUAAUAUAUUGUAAAAUUACACUCCUCUCCCCUUUUACAAUUGUCUUCAUAGGGGUCCCCCUGGGAAAGUGUUGCCCGCAUAAUCCCUCGGCGACCCUGCAUACAUGUCGUUUUUGUACAGAAACAAAAUAUAUAUAAUGAUUUCUGACGAUAUUAACUUUGAUAUUAGCACAUCUUGCUUUCACUCAUUUCUUAUCUUUCGCUCAUCUUCUCUUUCAUUCCACCCUCUAUUCACUCAUCCAUUUUAUUUUAAAUUUUUACUUCUCGUUCUGAAUAAUAGAUCUGGGGAACACGAAGUAUUUUUUGCAGGUCUGCAUCCCAACAGAUAUAGUCAUAGCUUACCUCAGAAUAAAAUUAGGCAGGUGUGAUUGGGGACGAUGUGCUGAAUUAGAUACAAUCCAGUCAGAUUUGGUGUGUGUAGGUACACCCUUUCCCAUCACUAUAAACAUAGAAUGCCAUAGCUGACUGGAGGUACACCCCUUCCCUCACCCCUAUAAAUUCCACCUAUCUUGCGGCAACUGAAUUAAAGAAGGACGUUUUCUAGCCUAAACAUGUAAAGAAGAAAGGUCCGAGUAACCAGCAAUCGUACGUCAUUCAACAUAUAAUAUUUCCGUCGAAAAAUUCCCACUCUCACAUAUAUUUAGACUAUAUUGGUAGAGUGUGGACAAUGCUGACACCCAUAGUAUUGAAUUUCGCAAAGAUAAUCAACAACGUUUGUG